GACAUAGCUCAGUGGGUAGAGCAUGAGACUCUUAAUCUGAGGGUUUGGGGUUCAAGCACCACGUUGGGCA